GCAAGUCGAACGAGAACGGAAUCUAGCUUGCUAGAUUUGUCAGCUAAGUGGCGCACGGGUGAGUAAUAUAUAGUUAACCUGCCUUCAAGAAGGGGAUAAUUGCUGGAAACGGCUUGUAAGACCCUAUAUGCCUUUAUUACAUAAGUAAGCAAGGGAAAUAUUUAUAGCUUGAAGAUGGGACUGUACAGUAUCAGCUAGUUGGUGAGGUAAUGGCUCACCAAGGCUAUGACGCUUAACUGGUUUGAGAGGAUGAUC
rnacentral:rRNA from 1 species